rnacentral:rRNA from 1 species
ACGGGGGGAGCAAGCGUUGUUCGGAUUUACUGGGCGUAAAGGGCGCGUAGGCGGCCACCGCAAGUCGGUUGUGAAAUCUCUGGGCUUAACCCAGAAAGGUCAAUCGAUACUGCGGGGCUAGAGUGCAGAAGGGGCAACUGGAAUUCUCGGUGUAGCGGUGAAAUGCGUAGAUAUCUGGAGGAACACCGGUGGCGAAGGCGGCAUCCUGGACCAAUUCUGACGCUGAUGAGCGAAAGCCAGGGGAGCAAACGGGA